rnacentral:rRNA from 1 species
GGGGAAAAGAAAGCACUUUGGAAAGAGAGUUAAACAGUACGUGAAAUUGCUAAAAGGGAAACGCUUGAAGUCAGUCGCGUCGUGCGGAACUCAGCUUUGCUUCGGCUUAGUGCACUUUCUCGGUUGACGGGACAGCAUCGAUUUUGACCGCUGGAAAAGGGCUGGAGGAAUGUGGCACCUUCGGUGUGGUUUAUGCCCUUCAGUCCGAAUAACGCGGUUGGGAUCAAGAAACGCACGCCCCCCUAAGGCUUGGGUUCGCCCCAAUUCGCCCUUAAGAAGGGGGAAUAAGGGGUUUAAAAACCCCCCUUUAAAACCGACCAAGAAAAUUUUUUUAAACCUUUUCCCCCCCUGGGGGGGGGGGGGGCAACCCCCCCAAAGGGGGGUUUUUUUUUUAACCCUUUUUGCCAGAGGUUAAAACCCCAAAGGGCUUUUUUUUCUUUUUUUGGAAAAAAAAAAAUCCCCCCCCCCCCAGUUGUUUUUUUUGGGGGGGGGUUUACAACCCCCCCACAUGGUGGGAUUUUUUAAAUCCCAUUGUUUUUUCCCCCCCGGGGUUUUUUUUUUCCCCCCAUUUUUUUGUUAAAAAAAAAA